rnacentral:rRNA from 1 species
UACGUAGGUGGCGAGCGUUGUCCGGAUUUACUGGGCGUAAAGAGCGCGCAGGCGGUCGUUCAAGUCGCGUGUGAAAGCCCCCGGCUCAACUGGGGAGGGUCACGCGAUACUGAUCGACUCGAAGGCAGGAGAGGGUAGUGGAAUUCCCGGUGUAGUGGUGAAAUGCGUAGAUAUCGGGAGGAACACCAGUGGCGAAGGCGACUACCUGGCCUGUUUCUUGACGCUGAGGCGCGAAAGCUAGGGGAGCAAACGGG